UGGUCUUAGCUUGCUAAGGCUGAUGGCGACCGGCGCACGGGUGAGUAACACGUAUCCAACUUGCCGUCUACUCUUGGCCAGCCUUCUGAAAGGAAGAUUACUCCAGGAUGGCAUCAUGAGUUCACAUGUCCGCAUGAUUAAAGGUAUUUUCCGGUAGACGAUGGGGAUGCGUUCCAUUAGAUAGUAGGCGGGGUAACGGCCCACCUAGUCAACGAUGGAUAGGGGUUCUGAGAGGAAGGUCCCCCACAUUGGAACUGAGACACGGUCCAAACUCCUACGGGAGGCAGCAGUGAGGAAUAUUGGUCAAUGGGCGAUGGCCUGAACCAGCCAAGUAGCGUGAAGGAUGACUGCCCUAUGGGUUGUAAACUUCUUUUAUAAAGGAAUAAAGUCGGGUAUGCAUACCCGUUUGCAUGUACUUUAUGAAUAAGGAUCGGCUAACUCCGUGCCAGCAGCCGCGGUAAUACGGAGGAUCCGAGCGUUAUCCGGAUUUAUUGGGUUUAAAGGGAGCGUGGAUGGAUGUUUAAGUCAGUUGUGAAAGUUUGCGGCUCAACCGUAAAAUUGCAGUUGAUACUGGAUGUCUUGAGUGCAGUUGAGGCAGGCGGAAUUCGUGGUGUAGCGGUGAAAUGCUUAGAUAUCACGAAGAACUCCGAUUG
rnacentral:rRNA from 1 species